CUGAUUGAACGUGCUUGCACGGACUUGACGUUGGUUUACCAGCGAGUGGCGGACGGGUGAGUAACACGUAGGUAACCUGCCCCAAAGCGGGGGAUAACAUUUGGAAACAGAUGCUAAUACCGCAUAACAAUUUGAAUCGCAUGAUUCAAAUUUAAAAGAUGGCUUCGGCUAUCACUUUGGGAUGGACCUGCGGCGCAUUAGCUUGUUGGUAGGGUAACGGCCUACCAAGGCUGUGAUGCGUAGCCGAGUUGAGAGACUGAUCGGCCACAAUGGAACUGAGACACGGUCCAUACUCCUACGGGAGGCAGCAGUAGGGAAUCUUCCACAAUGGGCGCAAGCCUGAUGGAGCAACACCGCGUGAGUGAAGAAGGGUUUCGGCUCGUAAAGCUCUGUUGUUAGAGAAGAACGUGCGUGAGAGCAACUGUUCACGCAGUGACGGUAUCUAACCAGAAAGUCACGGCUAACUACGUGCCAGCAGCCGCGGUAAUACGUAGGUGGCAAGCGUUAUCCGGAUUUAUUGGGCGUAAAGCGAGCGCAGGCGGUUUGAUAAGUCUGAUGUGAAAGCCUUUGGCUUAACCAAAGAAGUGCAUCGGAAACUGUCAGACUUGAGUGCAGAAGAGGACAGUGGAACUCCAUGUGUAGCGGUGGAAUGCGUAGAUAUAUGGAAGAACACCAGUGGCGAAGGCGGCUGUCUGGUCUGCAACUGACGCUGAGGCUCGAAAGCAUGGGUAGCGAACAGGAUUAGAUACCCUGGUAGUCCAUGCCGUAAACGAUGAGUGCUAGGUGUUGGAGGGUUUCCGCCCUUCAGUGCCGCAGCUAACGCAUUAAGCACUCCGCCUGGGGAGUACGACCGCAAGGUUGAAACUCAAAGGAAUUGACGGGGGCCCGCACAAGCGGUGGAGCAUGUGGUUUAAUUCGAAGCUACGCGAAGAACCUUACCAGGUCUUGACAUCUUGCGCCAACCCUAGAGAUAGGGCGUUUCCUUCGGGAACGCAAUGACAGGUGGUGCAUGGUCGUCGUCAGCUCGUGUCGUGAGAUGUUGGGUUAAGUCCCGCAACGAGCGCAACCCUUGUUACUAGUUGCCAGCAUUCAGUUGGGCACUCUAGUGAGACUGCCGGUGACAAACCGGAGGAAGGUGGGGACGACGUCAGAUCAUCAUGCCCCUUAUGACCUGGGCUACACACGUGCUACAAUGGACGGUACAACGAGUCGCGAACUCGCGAGGGCAAGCUAAUCUCUUAAAACCGUUCUCAGUUCGGACUGCAGGCU
rnacentral:rRNA from 1 species